rnacentral:rRNA from 1 species
UUAAAUUGAAGAGUUUGAUCAUGGCUCAGAUUGAACGCUGGCGGCAGGCCUAACACAUGCAAGUCGAACGGUAACAGGAAGCAGCUUGCUGCUUUGCUGACGAGUGGCGGACGGGUGAGUAAUGUCUGGGAAACUGCCUGAUGGAGGGGGAUAACUACUGGAAACGGUAGCUAAUACCGCAUAACGUCGCAAGACCAAAGAGGGGGACCUUCGGGCCUCUUGCCAUCGGAUGUGCCCAGAUGGGAUUAGCUAGUAGGUGGGGUAACGGCUCACCUAGGCGACGAUCCCUAGCUGGUCUGAGAGGAUGACCAGCCACACUGGAACUGAGACACGGUCCAGACUCCUACGGGAGGC